UACGUGGGGGGCAAGCGUUGUCCGGAUUUACUGGGCGUAAAGAGCGUGUAGGCGGCCAAACAGGUCCGUUGUGAAAACUGGAGGCUCAACUUCCAGACGUCGACGGAAACCGUGUGGCUAGAGUCCGGAAGAGGAGAGUGGAAUUCCUGGUGUAGCGGUGAAAUGCGCAGAUAUCAGGAAGAACACCAAUGGCGAAGGCAGCUCUCUGGGACGGUACUGACGCUGAGACGCGAAAGCGUGGGGAGCGAACAGG
rnacentral:rRNA from 1 species